rnacentral:piRNA from 1 species
UCCUAGAUUUAGUUGACUUUAUGUUGGUUU